rnacentral:rRNA from 1 species
AUUGCCCCAGUAACGGCGAGUGAAGCGGCAACAGCUCAAAUUUGAAAUCUGGCCCCUGGGGCCCGAGUUGUAAUUUGCAGAGGAUGCUUUUGGCGAGGUGCCUUCCGAGUUCCCUGGAACGGGACGCCACAGAGGGUGAGAGCCCCGUCUGGUUGGACGCCGAGCCUCUGUAAAGCUCCUUCGACGAGUCGAGUAGUUUGGGAAUGCUGCUCUAAAUGGGAGGUAUAUGUCUUCUAAAGCUAAAUAUUGGCCAGAGACCGAUAGCGCACAAGUAGAGUGAUCGAAAGAUGAAAAGCACUUUGAAAAGAGAGUUAAAUAGUACGUGAAAUUGUUGAAAGGGAAGCGCUUGUGACCAGACUUGGGCCCGGUGAAUCAUCCAGCGUUCUCGCUGGUGCACUUUGCCGGUGCCCAGGCCAGCAUCAGUUUGCCCCGGGGGAUAAAGGCUUUGGGAAUGUGGCUCCCCAGGGAGUGUUAUAGCCCACUGCACAAUACCCUGUGGCGGACUGAGGUUCGCGCAUCUUGCAAGGAUGCUGGCGUAAUGGUCAUCAGCGACCCGUCUUGAAACACGGACCAAGGAGUCGUCUUCGUAUGCGAGUGUUCGGGUGUCAAACCCCUACGCGUAAUGAAGGUGAACGCAGGUGAGAGCUUCGGCGCAUCAUCGACCGAUCCUGAUGUUCUCGGAUGGAUUUGAGUAAGAGCAUACGGGGCCGGACCCGAAAGAAAGUGAACUAUGCCUGUAUAGGGUGAAGCCAGAGGAAACUCUGGUGGAGGCUCGCAGCGGUUCUGACGUGCAAAUCGAUCGUCAAAUAUGGGCAUGGGGGCGAAAGACUAAUCGAA